rnacentral:rRNA from 1 species
AACGAACGCUGGCGGCAUGCCUAAUACAUGCAAGUCGAACGAGCACUCCGGGUCUAGUGGCCUCCGGGUGCGUAACGCGUCGGAACCUGACCUCAGGUUCGGAAUAACUCUCCGACAGGGGUGCCAAUACCGGAUAAUGUCUUCGGACCAAAGAUUUAUCGCCUUUGGAUGGACCAGAGUUGAAUUAGCUAGUUGGUAGGGUUAAAGACUACUACGGCGAGCAUCAAUAACUUGUCUGAGAGGCAGAUUAGCCACACUGAGACGGGGACACGGCCCAGACUCCUACGGGAGGCAGCAAAGGGGAAUAGUGGACAGUGGGCGGAGGCCUGAACCACCAAGGCCGCGUGAGUGAUGAAGGCCUUAGGGUUGUAAAGCUCAUUUACCCGGGAUGAUAAUGACAGUACCGGGAGAGUAAGCUCCGGCUAACUCCGUG